rnacentral:tRNA from 1 species
GUGGCUAUAGCUCAGUUGGUAGAGCCCCGGAUUGUGAUUCCGGUUGUCGUGGGUUCAAGUCCCAUUAGCCACCCCAAUUUAUCGGCGAGUAGCGCAGCUUGGUAGCGCAACUGGUUUGGGACCAGUGGGUCGUAGGUUCAAAUCCUAUCUCGCCGA